UUAAGCAUAUCAAUAAGCGGAGGAAAAGAAACCAACAGGGAUUACCUCAGUAACGGCGAGUGAAGCGGUAACAGCUCAAAUUUGAAAUCUGGCUCCUCGGGGCCCGAAUUGUAAUUUGUAGAAGAUGCUUUGGGUCUGGGCCUGGCCUAAGUUCCUUGGAACAGGACGUCGUAGAGGGUGAGAAUCCCGUAUGCGGCUGGCGCCCGUGCCCGUGUAAAGCUCUUUCAACGAGUCGAGUUGUUUGGGAAUGCAGCUCUAAAUGGGUGGUAAAUUUCAUCUAAAGCUAAAUAUUGGCCAGAGACCGAUAGCGCACAAGUAGAGUGAUCGAAAGAUGAAAAGCACUUUGGAAAGAGAGUUAAACAGUACGUGAAAUUGUUGAAAGGGAAGCGCUGGCAACCAGACUUGGGCGCUGUUGAUCCGCUAGGGUUCUCUCUAGGGCACUCGGCAGUGCGCAGGCCAGCAUCGGUUUGGGGGGUUGGAGAAUGGCUGGUGGAAUGUGGCUGUCUUUGGGCAGUGUUAUAGCCACCGGUGGCAUGCAGCCUCCCCGGACCGAGGACCGCGCUUCGGCUAGGAUGCUGGCGUAAUGGUUGUCAGCGACCCGUCUUGAAACA
rnacentral:rRNA from 1 species